rnacentral:lncRNA from 1 species
CGUGAAAACAUUUUUUUGUGAUUUUGGCAUGAAAACACGUUUUGUGGUUUUUGCGGGAAAACACGUUUUUGCAAUUUUGACGGGAAAACACGUUUUUGUAAUUUUGGCGGGAAAAUGCGUUUUUGGGGGUUUUGGCAUGAAAAAGUAGUUUUUAGGUUUUCGCGUGAAAACGUGUUUUUGUAGUUUUGUUAGUUUUCGUAUAUGAUAAAAAUGAUAUUAUGUUUAGGUUUAUAAUUUGUGAAUUACAUUAGGGGCAUAAUAGACAUUAUACUAUUUUGAAUGAACCAUCUCUAUUCAAAUGAUCCAAAUUGGUUCAGCUGAAUGGACUUUAAAAUUA